rnacentral:rRNA from 1 species
UUUGGUUAAGUUAGAAAGGGCGCACGGUGGAUGCCUUGACACUAGGAGUCGAUGAAGGACGGGACUAACGCCGAUAUGCUUCGGGGAGCUGUAAGUAAGCUUUGAUCCGAAGAUUUCCGAAUGGGGAAACCCACCAUACGUAAUGGUAUGGUAUCCUUAUCUGAAUACAUAGGGUAAGGAAGACAGACCCAGGGAACUGAAACAUCUAAGUACCUGGAGGAAGAGAAAGCAAAUGCGAUUUCCUGAGUAGCGGCGAGCGAAACGGAACAUAGCCCAAACCAAGAGGCUUGCCUCUUGGGGUUGUAGGACAUUCUAUACGGAGUUACAAAGGAACGAGGUAGACGAAGCGACCUGGAAAGGUCCGUCGUAGAGGGUAACAACCCCGUAGUCGAAACUUCGUUCUCUCUUGAAUGUAUCCUGAGUACGGCGGAACACGUGAAAUUCCGUCGGAAUCUGGGAGGACCAUCUCCCAAGGCUAAAUACUCCCUAGUGAUCGAUAGUGAACCAGUACCGUGAGGGAAAGGUGAAAAGCACCCCGGAAGGGGAGUGAAAGAGAUCCUGAAACCGUGUGCCUACAAAUAGUCAGAGCCCGUUAACGGGUGAUGGCGUGCCUUUUGUAGAAUGAACCGGCGAGUUACGAUCCCGUGCGAGGUUAAGCUGAAGAGGCGGAGCCGCAGCGAAAGCGAGUCUGAAUAGGGCGUUUAGUACGUGGUCGUAGACCCGAAACCAGGUGAUCUACCCAUGUCCAGGGUGAAGUUCAGGUAACACUGAAUGGAGGCCCGAACCCACGCACGUUGAAAAGUGCGGGGAUGAGGUGUGGGUAGCGGAGAAAUUCCAAUCGAACCUGGAGAUAGCUGGUUCUCCCGAAAUAGCUUUAGGGCUAGCCUUAAGUGUAAGAGUCUUGGAGGUAGAGCACUGAUUGGACUAGGGGUCCUCAUCGGAUUACCGAAUUCAGUCAAACUCCGAAUGCCAAUGACUUAUCCUUAGGAGUCAGACUGCGAGUGAUAAGAUCCGUAGUCAAAAGGGAAACAGCCCAGACCGCCAGCUAAGGUCCCAAAGUGUGUAUUAAGUGGAAAAGGAUGUGGAGUUGCUUAGACAACUAGGAUGUUGGCUUAGAAGCAGCCACCAUUUAAAGAGUGCGUAAUAGCUCACUAGUCGAGUGACUCUGCGCCGAAAAUGUACCGGGGCUAAAUACACCACCGAAGCUGCGGAUUGAUACCAAUGGUAUCAGUGGUAGGGGAGCGUUCUAAGGACAGUGAAGUCAGACCGGAAGGACUGGUGGAGUGCUUAGAAGUGAGAAUGCCGGUAUGAGUAGCGAAAGACGGGUGAGAAUCCCGUCCACCGAAUGCCUAAGGUUUCCUGAGGAAGGCUCGUCCGCUCAGGGUUAGUCAGGACCUAAGCCGAGGCCGACAGGCGUAGGCGAUGGACAACAGGUUGAUAUUCCUGUACCACCUCUUUAUCGUUUGAGCAAUGGAGGGACGCAGAAGGAUAGAAGAAGCGUGCGAUUGGUUGUGCACGUCCAAGCAGUUAGGCUGAUAAGUAGGCAAAUCCGCUUAUCGUGAAGGCUGAGCUGUGAUGGGGAAGCUCCUUAUGGAGCGAAGUCUUUGAUUCCCCGCUGCCAAGAAAAGCUUCUAGCGAGAUAAAAGGUGCCUGUACCGCAAACCGACACAGGUAGGCGAGGAGAGAAUCCUAAGGUGUGCGAGAGAACUCUGGUUAAGGAACUCGGCAAAAUGACCCCGUAACUUCGGGAGAAGGGGUGCUUUCUUAACGGAAAGCCGCAGUGAAUAGGCCCAAGCGACUGUUUAGCAAAAACACAGCUCUCUGCGAAGCCGUAAGGCGAAGUAUAGGGGGUGACACCUGCCCGGUGCUGGAAGGUUAAGGAGAGGGGUUAGCGUAAGCGAAGCUCUGAACUGAAGCCCCAGUAAACGGCGGCCGUAACUAUAACGGUCCUAAGGUAGCGAAAUUCCUUGUCGGGUAAGUUCCGACCCGCACGAAAGGUGUAACGAUUUGGGCACUGUCUCAACCAGAGACUCGGUGAAAUUAUAGUACCUGUGAAGAUGCAGGUUACCCGCGACAGGACGGAAAGACCCCGUGGAGCUUUACUGUAGCCUGAUAUUGAAUUUUGGUACAGUUUGUACAGGAUAGGCGGGAGCCUUUGAAACCGGAGCGCUAGCUUCGGUGGAGGCGCUGGUGGGAUACCGCCCUGACUGUAUUGAAAUUCUAACCUACGGGUCUUAUCGACCCGGGAGACAGUGUCAGGUGGGCAGUUUGACUGGGGCGGUCGCCUCCUAAAGUGUAACGGAGGCGCCCAAAGGUUCCCUCAGAAUGGUUGGAAAUCAUUCGUAGAGUGCAAAGGCAUAAGGGAGCUUGACUGCGAGACCUACAAGUCGAGCAGGGACGAAAGUCGGGCUUAGUGAUCCGGUGGUUCCGCAUGGAAGGGCCAUCGCUCAACGGAUAAAAGCUACCCCGGGGAUAACAGGCUUAUCUCCCCCAAGAGUCCACAUCGACGGGGAGGUUUGGCACCUCGAUGUCGGCUCAUCGCAUCCUGGGGCUGUAGUCGGUCCCAAGGGUUGGGCUGUUCGCCCAUUAAAGCGGUACGCGAGCUGGGUUCAGAACGUCGUGAGACAGUUCGGUCCCUAUCCGUCGUGGGCGUAGGAAAUUUGAGAGGAGCUGUCCUUAGUACGAGAGGACCGGGAUGGACGCACCGCUGGUGUACCAGUUGUUCUGCCAAGGGCAUAGCUGGGUAGCUAUGUGCGGAAGGGAUAAGUGCUGAAAGCAUCUAAGCAUGAAGCCCCCCUCAAGAUGAGAUUUCCCAUAGCGUAAGCUAGUAAGAUCCCUGAAAGAUGAUCAGGUUGAUAGGUUCGAGGUGGAAGCAUGGUGACAUGUGGAGCUGACGAAUACUAAUAGAUCGAGGACUUAACCAUAUAA